UACGUGUGGAGCAAGCGUUAUCCGGAUUUACUGGGUGUAAAGGGAGCGUAGACGGUAUGCCAAGUCUGAUGUGAAAGGUGUGGGCUCAACCCGCAAACUGCAUUGGAAACUGGUAGACCGGAGUGUCGGAGAGGUAAGUGGAAUUCCUAGUGUAGCGGUGAAAUGCCUAGAUAUUAGGAGGAACACCAGCGGCGAAGGCGGCUUACUGGACGAUAACUGACGUUGAGGCUCGAAAGCGAGGGGAGCAAAC
rnacentral:rRNA from 1 species